rnacentral:rRNA from 1 species
UUGGCCUACGGGGGGCAGCAGUGGGGGAUAUUGCACAAUGGGGGGAACCCUGAUGCAGCGACGCCGCGUGGGCGAUGGAGUGCUUCGGCAUGUAAAGCCCUAUCAGCAGGGAAGAAAAUGACGGUACCUGACUAAGAAGCCCCGGCUAAAUACGUGCCAGCAGCCGCGGUAAUACGUAUGGGGCAAGCGUUAUCCGGAUUUACUGGAUGUAAAGGGAGCGUAGGCGGUAAGGCAAGUCUGAUGUGAAAGGCCAGGGCUCAACCCUGGAACUGCAUUGGAAACUGUUUAACUGGAGUGUCGGAGAG